rnacentral:rRNA from 1 species
CGGCCGAUAUCGGGCGCCGGGAAAUGUGGUGUUCGGGAGGGUCCGUUAUCCCGAGAUUGUGCGGCGCGUCCAAGUCCUUCUUGAACGGGGCCACAGCCCAUAGAGGGUGCCAGGCCCGUAGCGACCGCCGCCGAUCGCGGGAGGAUCUCUCCUCAGAGUCGGGUUGCUUGAGAGUGCAGCCCUAAGUGGGUGGUAAACUCCAUCUAAGGCUAAAUAUGACCACGAGACCGAUAGCGAACAAGUACCGUGAGGGAAAGUUGAAAAGCACUUUGAAGAGAGAGUUCAAGAGUACGUGAAACCGUUUAGGGGUAAACCUGAGAAACCCGAAAGGUCGAAGGGAGAAAUUCAUCGCGUUUCGCCGCAGGCGUUGGACGAUCGUGUGACGGAAAGCGUUCGCGCGCUUUAUCGCACCUUUCGCCAUGACGGCGGCGAACGCGUGCACUUUUCUCCUGGUAGGACGUCGCGAUCCGUUGGGCGUCGGUCUACGGCUCGCGGUGGAGACCGUCCGUAAGCGUUCGCGCGCCUACGAACGGACCCGCGAAGCCCGACCGACUCGCUCGACGGUAUGCGAAAGGUUUAAGGCCGCUCCCCGUGAGCGUUCGACUCGCGGCAAGCGCGCCGGAUGCGUCGGCGAUCGGACCUCGUGCCGAUUCUGACCUCCGGUGACUGUUGGCCGCGAAGUUCUCGAACAGACCUUAAGACCG